UAAGCCUGCAUGUCUAAGUAUAAGCAAAUUUUACAGUGAAACUGCGAAUGGCUCAUUAAAUCAGUUAUCGUUUAUUUGAUGUUCCCUUACUACAUGGAUACCUGUGGUAAUUCUAGAGCUAAUACAUGCUUCAAAGCCCGGCCUCUGGUCGGGCUGCACUUAUUAGAUAAAAAACCAAUGCCUUCACGGGCUCUUUGGUGAUUCAUAGUAAUUUAGCGGACCGCAUGGCCUUGAGCCGGCGGUGGAUCAUUCAAAUUUCUGCCCUAUCAACUUUCGAUGGUAGGAUAGUGGCCUACCAUGGUUUCAACGGGUAACGGGGAAUUAGGGUUCUAUUCCGGAGAGGGAGCCUGAGAAACGGCUACCACAUCCAAGGAAGGCAGCAGGCGCGCAAAUUACCCAAUNCCGAUACGGGGAGGUAGUGACAAUAAAUACUGAUACAGGGCUCUUAUGAGUCUUGUAAUUGGAAUGAGUACAAUUUAAAUCCCUUAACGAGGAACAAUUGGAGGGCAAGUCUGGUGCCANCAGCCGCGGNAAUUCCAGCUCCAAUAGCGUAUAUUAAAG
rnacentral:rRNA from 1 species